rnacentral:rRNA from 1 species
AGUUGCAUGCUGUAGACCCGAAACCGUGUGAUCUAUCCAUGACCAGGAUGAAGCUUGGGUAAAACCAAGUGGAGGUCCGAACCAGUGUCUGUUGAAAAAGGCUUGGAUGAGUUGUGGAUAGGGGUGAAAUUCCAAUCGAACACGGAGAUAGCUGGUUCUCCCCGAAAUAGCUUUAGGGCUAGCGUUGUAGAGAGAGUGAUGGAGGUAGAGCACUGAAUAGGCUAGGGGUCGUAAAGAUUACUGAACCUUAUCAAACUCCGAAUGCCAUACACUUAUAUACGGCAGUCAGACUGUGUGAGAUAAGUCUCAUAGUCAAAAGGGAAACAGCCCAGACCAUCCGCUAAGGUCCCCAAGUCCAGAUUAAGUGGGAAAGGAUGUGCAACUGCAGAAACAACCAGGAUGUUGGCUUAGAAGCAGCCACACAUUUAAAGAGUGCGUAAUAGCUCACUGGUCGAGUGGUUGUGCGCCGAAGAUGAACGGGGCUCAAAUCUGGCACCGAAGCGAUGGAUUAUGGUACUACCAUAGUGGUAGGGGAGCAAUGUCUUGGGGGCGAAGCUAAACUGUAAGGUUUGGUGGACACAAGACAAGAGAGAAUGUUGGCAUGAGUAGCGAAAGUGAAGUGAGAAUCUUCACCAUCGAAAGCCCAAGGUUUCCUGAGGAAGGUUCGUCCCCUCAGGGUAAGUCGGGGCCUAAGCCGAGGCGAGCAGCGUAGGCGAUGGACAACAGGUUGAAAUUCCUGUACCACCUUUAAUUGUUUGAGAGAUGGAGUGACACAGAAGGAUAAGCGAACCCAGCGGUUGGAAAAGCUGGGCCAAGCGUCAAGGCUGAUCAGGGAGGCAAAUCCCCUUGAUCUUAAGGCUGAGGCGUGACGGGGAACGAAAAAUAAGUAGGGAAGUCGCUGAUUUCACGCUGUCAAGAAAAGCUUCUAUUGAGAGAGAAGGUGCCCGUACCGUAAACCGACACAGGUAGGCGAGGAGAGAAUCCUAAGAUGAGCGGGAGAAGUGUUGUUAAGGAACUCGGCAAAAUGACUCCGUAACUUCGGGAGAAGGAGUGCCCCUCUAGGGGGGCCGCAGAGAAGAGGCUCAAGCGACUGUUUAGCAAAAACAUAGGUCUCUGCUAAAUCGAAAGAUGAUGUAUAGGGGCUGACGCCUGCCCGGUGCUGGAAGGUUAAGAGGAGUGCUUAGCGCAAGCGAAGGUGCAAAUUUAAGCCCCAGUAAACGGCGGCCGUAACUAUAACGGUCCUAAGGUAGCGAAAUUCCUUGUCAGGUAAGUUCUGACCCGCACGAAAGGUGUAACGAUUUGGGCACUGUCUCAACAAGGGACUCGGUGAAAUCAAGCUGCCGGUGAAAA